AAAGGUGGGACAAUACAAAGAUGUUAGGGACUGAUGUGGGGAAGAUACAGAUGUGGAAUGGCAUUAUAGGGGCACAGACUAAGUUGCCUUUGCUCCGGAGACCUGUGUGAACCAUAUAGAAGGUGCUGCCAUUGCAGGGUGCCCUACUUCUACUUAAGAAGACUUGCUUCAGAAUAAAAAUUGUUCUUCGUUGGAAUUUCUCUUAUUAUUAAUUCAAUCUCUUCAACUAUGGAAGAUGACCUUCUUCUAGAUUCCUACAUCGUCUACGAGUACCAAGUUUCUACUACUAUCUUCUAGUUCCAGUUUUACUUCCAAGAUUACACAUCCGUAUUUGGACUGUUUUACCUUCGCUCAAAAGAAAAAGGAAGAUAUUAUAUUAACUGUCACUCAUAUAUCUGAUACCGUUACAUGAUUGGUUGAUAUUAUGGUAGCAUGUUAGGCUACACCAUACCUAUGUUUUAAAGUUUUUUCUUGUGUAAUAUUCAUUAAUAUUUCUUUUGCUGCUGAUCAGUAAAAUGAA